rnacentral:lncRNA from 1 species
GCGAGACUCUAAAGCGACGGUUAAGGGACAGGGGACGAGUGGAGCAAGUGGGCCUUAAUCUGAAAAUAACUUGAUUGUUUAAUGACAUUAAGAGAAAAAGAUUACGAGCUUUGAGAAGGAGGAAGCCUGGGAGUAACGACAGUUAAGGAGUUAGCUUGCGGAACCAACAUAAGAAUUUAUAACAGGGAGGUGUCGUUUGGGAUCAGACGCGUGGCCUGCAUUGCCGUAGCCACCGUGGUGUAAUGUUGCCACGUAAAAACCACAAAUCCCAGAAUUCAGUCGGGUGAUACACUGGCUCAGAAUGUGAUUGGCUGCGGGAACUAGUAGCUUCCUCAUUGGCUCCCGUGGAAGGAGUGAAUGCUGGGAUUUGCAGUCUGAUGGGGGAGCCGUGCUGGGUAAAAACCUUAGAAUCGUCGCGCACUCCGUUUCUGCCGCGGAUUCUUAUAUUCUCCAAUACAGGCUUUUUCUGUUAUGCAGUAUUUGCAGAGCAGGCUGCUGCAGUUUGGCCAGGCGCAUUGCGGAUCAGUUGGUGUUCUUGCCAGAGGCCUAGCAGCAGCUUCCUAGCGCUACUACUUGCACCUCCCAAGGCAGCUGAGCCUCCCCACUUCUCUGGCCAGACACACUCCUACCGUGCAUCGUAGAACCACCUCUCUGACGCCAGCAGGACCUUAGUAAGAGUAAUGGGUAUGCGACAGAUGGCUGUAGUCAGGCCCUACUGAUUUCAAAAUAGCUAAAAGACUAUCUCUGUAGUUAGCUUUUGUGGCCUUGAUGGACCUGCAGCUGUGUAUUGCUCCCUCAGACGUACAAAUUCGUGGAGAUGAGUUAUGAAAGUAUUUAGUAUCCAAGUUUUUCAUCUGCUUAAUAUUUGGGAUUUUAAACACAAGUUUUGCCAGCUAGGGGUCAACAUCCCUGAAAGUGUUAGGGAUGGAGCUAGCUGACAGGCCUUUCUAAAAGAACAGAGAGCCUGGUGAAGAGAUGAAAAAUCAAUCUCACUUGAUACUCCUGUUAAAAACAACAACAAACCUUUAAAUAGCUCUCUACUAACACAUAACUCAAAUCCGAUCAAAUCUACCUGACCUUUACCAUUGUUUUCUGUAUUCAUCAACUAUUACUGAGUACUUCAAAGUCAGGCAAUAGGAGUUAAUAAAACAGAUGAAACUUGGUUUAGCCUCAUAAUAUGUGUUUAAAUUUCACACAUACCUCUGAUCUGCUCUCAUCGCGCCUGUAGUCACAGCUACUCGGGAGGCUGACGUAGAAAAAUUGCUUGAACCCAGGAGGCGGAGGUUGCAGUGAGCCGAGAUCGUGCCACUGCACUCCAGCCUGGGCGACAGAGUGAGACAACGUCUUAAAAUGAUAAUAAUAAUAUAUACGUAAUAUAUGAUAUUUUUUCUCCCCAGUAAUGCCAUAUUUCAUUUUACCAAUCUGCCAUGAUUAAUAUAUCUUUCAUCAAACUGUCCUUAGUGCUUCAGCCACAAUUAAUUGCCUUUUGCUCUGAAUAGCCUUUCCACCAUAUUUAAUGUAAAACACACACACACACACACACACACAAAGAAGCAGGUCUUUUUUUGUAUGUGUGGACCUCAAGGCCUCAGUCAUUUGGUAUUAUCAAUAAUACUUUCUUUUAGCCUGUGUCCACUCAGAAAGCAAAUCAUGGUUUGUCUUUUUCUGUGUGUAAAUUCUUUCACUUUUGAAUUUCCAGCUGAACUAUAAUAUUUGGAGUCAGAUUCCUUAAAUAUAAAUCAUGUUUACAGCCACUUACUUGGUGUCAUAGGCAAUUCAUUUUCAUCUUUCUCAACUUCAGUUUCUUCGUGGGUAAAUGAUGAUCAGGAUAUUACCUCAGGUUGUUUUAAGAGUUAAAUAACUCCUAACCUCAGGUGAUCCACUGGCCUCAGCCUCCCAAAGUGCUGGGACUACAGGCAUGAGCCACCACGCCCGGCCCAGCCAAAUAUGGUGAAACCCUUUCUCUACUAAAAAUACAAAAAUUAGCUGGGCAGAUGAUAAGGAGAAAAUAAUGAAUGUCAAAGGAAACGUAAUUCCUCCAGUGCUGGUUGUCUCAACUGCGAUUGUUGUGGUUUGGAAAUGUAUCAACACCCAAGAAGGCUCUCUCUUGUGGAUGUAUCACUUAAAACACCCAGAAGUUGUUGACGGCGGCGGGCAGAAGGGCCGGUGGUUUCCAAGCUGCUUCAACAAUGGGACCCACAAUCCUCAAGCAGAGGAAGAAGAAGACAUAGACAAAGAAAAAGAGAAAGAAAAAAGAAAAGAAGAUGACAAAAAAAGAGCUUCGGCUAUGGAACUGGUUUAAUCCAUACGAUCGCCCAGAGGUGCUGACGGUGACCAGCUGGAAUGAGCCGGUUGUGUGGGAAGGCACUUAGAACAGAACCAUCCUAGAAAAUUAUUAUGCCAAACAGAAAAUUACUGUGGGUUGACGGUUUUUGCUGUCGGAAGACAUGUAGAGUAUUACUUGAAGGAGUUCAUAGCAUCUGCUGAUAGGUACUUCAUGGUAAGCCACAAAGUCAUGUUUUACAUCAUGGCCGAUAAUCCAGGAUGCUGUUGAUAGAGCUGGGUCCUCUGCGUUUCUUCAGAGUGUUUGAGAUCAAGCCCGAGAAGAGGUAGCAGGUCAUCAGCAUCGUGGGCAUGAAGACCAACAGGGAGCACAUGUUGGCCCACAUCCAACAGGAAGUUGACUUCCUCUUCUGCAUGGAUGUGGACCAAGUGUUCCAAGACAAUUUUGGAGUGGAGACCCUGGGCCAGUCCGUGGCUCAGCUAUAGGCCUGGUGGUACUGGACACAUCCUGAGGAGAAUACUUAGGAGAGGCAGAAGGAGUCGGUGGCAUACAUUCCAUUUGGCCAGGGGGAUUUUUAUUACCACGCAGCCAUUUUUGGUGGAACACCCAUUCACUUUCUCAACAUCACCCAGGAGUGCUUUAAGGGAAUCCUCCAGGACAGGAAAAAUGACCUCGAAGCCAAGUGGCAUGAUAAAGCCACCUAAACAAGUAUUUCUUCCUCAACAUACCCUCUAAGAUCUUAUCACCAGAAUGCUGCUGGGAUUAUCAUUAUAGGUCAUCAUGCAGAUAUUAAAAUUGUCAAGCUAUCUUGGCAGCAAAAAGAAUAUACGUUGGUUAGAAAUGAUGACUGACUUCAAAUUGUGCCAACAGUUUUUUGAAUUUGAGAGAAUUAUUAUUCUGGCUACUUCCUCAGAAAACAAUUUUAACUUUAAGAAAAUAUUAAUGAAACACCAACAUUGCAAUCACAUACUAUCUCUCCUUGUAACUUUGAGCAUUGUAAUAUGAGAGAAUGAAUCUAUGGUAAUCAGGUGUAAAUUCCCAGUGAUUUCUUAUGUAUUCUGAAUUUGGGGGAAAUACUAUCAGCUGAACCAGAAAGAACUUGUCAUAGGCAAAGAUAAAGCCAGAAACAGGCCAGGCACGGCGGCUUAUGCCUGUAAUCCCAGUACUUUGGGAGGCCAAGGGAGUGGAUCACCUGAGGUCAGGAGUUCGAGACCAGCUUGGCCAACAUGGUGAAAUCCCGUCUCUACUAAAAAUACAAAAAAUUAGCCGGGCAUGGUGGCGCACACCUGUAAUCCCACCUACUCAGGAGGCUGAGGCGGGAGAAUCACUUGAACCUGGGAGGCAGAGGUUGCAUUGAGCCAGAUUGUACCAUUGUACUCCAGCCUGGGCAGCAAGAGUGAAAUUCCAUCUAAAAACAAACAAACAAAACUCUACAUGUGUCAGAUAACAUCCUGGAGAAAAUCAGGUGGUAAGGGAAGUGUUGGCAGCGAGAUAUGGUUGUAGGGGGUUAUACCCUUGAUUCCAAUGUUUUCCUGUUUCCGAUGGAUCUAAAGAACAUGGAGUUUUUAUUUGCAGCAGGGGAACUUUCAGUAAGGACACCGUUUGCCUUGGCAAUCCUCAAAAUACUUCAAGAACAGAUUGUUUCAGACCAUCUGUAGUCCAUUCUUUUCUCAUCAGGAUGUCAUUUGGUUUCUGUGUGAAAGUUUGGUGGAGAUUCCCAGUAGAUAUUAUGAUGGUGCAUGGUCAGAGUCCCAGGGAACCUGAAUGAACCAAGGUGCUCAAUGUGAAGUGAAAACAGCCUCAACAUGAGUGCCAUGAAAUAGCAAAGAGAGAGUGCAAGAGAGGGGCUGAUCGCUGUGGGGCAGUGCCACCUUGCAGGAACACAUGCCAUGAGGUUGGUGCUUAAAUACAUCAUGGAUCCAGGCACUGAAUGGGAGGCAGUAUGGGUGAUUUCCAGCUUGGUUGACCCCAUGACUGACAAACAGCAGGGACUUGAAUGGAAGAUGCUUCUUGUUUUGCCCAAGUUGUAUUCGGUCUACCAGAUUCUGCAACUUAUGUCUUCAGAUCCUUGGUGAGGAGAUAUGGAUGCUGUCAGAGAAGGCAAAUGCCUGCAGUGGAUCGAAGAGGUUUUCAAGGAGUUCCAUUUCCAGAAUGUGGCUUCAUCAGAGGACAAUGGAUCAUCAGCUAGUCCCACCACUUAGCUAUUCUGGAACUCAGGGUUCCUGUGCCACUCAUACCCCAACUUGGAGGGCUGACAUCAAAGAGUAAACUGAAGAAAUCAAGUAACCUCUCAUUUUUCAUCUGCACUAUGGAAGUGUAACAACUAGACGUGUAACCAGCAAAAGGGUUCGGCCAUUUGUUUAUAGAAAGGAGUCAAAAUAAUAAUGACAUGUGAAAGAAAGAGAGCAAGACUUUACUACUUGUGUUAGCAAGGGGAAGAAUGGGUGAAAUUUUAAAAAAUUUCCACUCUUCCCUUUGUGGAGGGAAGAUAGAGAUUUUUAAGGAGAGAGGGGUUUGGAAUGUAGGAGAGGAAGUGGGUAUGAGGUGGCACGGUUUGUUUUAAUGACUUAUUGUGAAUUGUUGUUUUAUUUGGUGAAGGCCCUGGUGUCAUUUUGGGCUUUAAUUAGGUUACAAAUUAAUUGCAGUCAAUUUUAUGGUCAAUUUUUGUUUUUUCUUGGAGAUGGGGUCUCACUCUGUCUCCCAGGCUGGAGUGCAGUGGUGUGAUCUUGGCUCAAUGCAGUCUUGACCUCCCAGGCUCAGGUGAUCCUCUCCUACCUCAGCCUCCCUAGUAGCUAGGACCACAGGCAUGCACCAUCCAGCACAGCUAACUUUUUGUAUUUUUUUUUGGUGGAGAUGGGGUUUCACCAUGUUGCCCAGACUAGUCUCAAAUUUCUGGGCUCAAGCAGUCCUCCCACCUCGGCCUCACGAAGUGCUGGGAUAACAGGUGUGAGCCUUUGCAUCUGGCCUGUAGUCAGUUUUUAGCUGGGAUUGAGUUUCAGCCUUGACUGGGGAGAGAAUUUUGGAGGUGUCUGGUUUGUGUUAGGAUUUGGCCUUUGACGUUUUAAUGGAAAUAUAUGACUAGAUAUGUCAGUGUGGCAUGUACUUAACAAGGAUGUAAGUAAAUAAAUAUGCAUAACGCAUGGGAGUAUAGUAUGGGAAAGAAGGGGAGUGGCGAUUUAUAGUACAUUUUGAGGCUGUAUUUUAAGGCAAAAGGAAGCAGAUAUAUAGUUUGUCUAAAGUUAUAUUUUGAGAUUGGGAGAAGGGAGGAAAGAAAACAUUUUGAGGUUGUAAAAUACAUUUGUAGUUUAUUUUCAAGUUAUAUUUUGAGGCUGGGGAGAAAGUUGGAAAGGAAAAAAAGUUUUAAAAUGCAGUUUGAAGUUAAGCUGUUUGGUUGUAAUUUUUAUUGUCAAAUUUUAUUUUAUUUGUAUGGAAAAUGGCUGCCAUAAUUGUUUUGGCUAUUUUUUUGUUGAGAAGGGGCAUAGUUUGGGGGUAUUAGAAUGGAAUUGAUUUAUUUGGAUUUGGAAAUAUUUAUGAGUAUUUGGGCCUAUAGACAAUAUUUAUUGGAGUGUUAUAGUUUGAGGUUUAGAAAGUUUUGGGGAAAGUCUGUCUUACAGUUUUACAUAGAGGGUAUAAUAGUAGUAAGUUUUAUAACACAGGGAUAUAUCUACCCCUGUAGGCCAGGCCAAUGUUAUAAGUAGUUUUUGUCUCUAACAUGGUCCUGACUUGAAUUAGAAUGUCCCCUAUUGAUUUAGUGACAAUGUAGGGUCGCACAUAGAUUUAAUUUUUUGGUGUAUAUUUUGUAGGGCUAUUUGAGGCAUUUUUGAAUUUUUUAAUUAUGUAGGGUUUUUAUUGUUAAUUGUAAUUGGAUGUGAUGACACGUUGGCUAAUAUAUAUAUUUAAUAGGCUGUAAAUAGGGAUAUGAAUAUUUAUGAAGGUGGCUUUAAGUCUUGUUUAGUUUAUGAGGGUGGAUUAGUUUAGUUAGUUGUUUUAUUUAGAAGGUAGUAUUGUACAUGGGCUAGGCCUUUUUAUGUGAUGAAGGCAGAAAAAAGUUUAUUAAGAGGCAUUUUUAUGGAAAUAGAAAAGCAAAUAUUAAUGUUGGAAACUAUUUGGAUGUUAAAGUACUUUUAGUUAUAGAGGAGGAAGGUAGUAGUAAUUUUAUUGAGUUUAAGUUAGAAAAAUAAAAGAAAAAAAUUGAAAAUAUUAGUUUGGAAAUUUGUACUCUAGAAAGAAUUUAGGAUUUAGUUAAAAUUAUAGAAAAUAAUAAAAACUCAAAAACAGUGGAUAAGACUAGAAUUUAAUUACAGGUGUAUUAUAGUUAGGUUUUUUUGAAACUUUUUUUAGUUUUUGUUUUUAUUAAAGACAAAUUAUAAUAGGACAAAUUUAUAGGCAAAAUAAGUUUUAGUUUUAUUGUAUUUGGCUUGUGUAUUUGUGUAAAGUCAGUAAGAAUAAUUAUUUGUCAUAUAGGCUUUUUUAAAAAUUGGCUUUGUUGGAACUUUGUUAUAGGGAAUUUUAGAUUAGAUCUUUUGAAGUUUUGAGUCCAGUCAUGGGUUUAUUUGUGUCUUUAAAUAUUUGUAUUAAAUGGGCAAAUUUUUUCUUUUGAGGUCUCAAGAAAACUUGGGGCUGUGGUUCCUGUUAGAAAGUGACACUUUUUAUUUGUUAUAGGUUAAGAAUUUUGUAUAGACACUGUAUAGACAAGGUAUGAGGUUAGUUUUUUAAGGGGCUUUUAUUGGCUUUAUAGGUUAAUUUUGAUAUUUUAAAGUAGUUUGUAAGUAUGUUUUUUAAAUUAAAAUUUUGGUAAAAUAGUGUUUUUAAUUGUGUUAUAAAAGAAAAUAGAUUUUUAUUGAAUUUAUGUAAAUAAUAAUAUUGUUAUAAAUUAAGUAUAUGUAUAAAUAGUUUGUAAAUUUUGGAGAGAUUAGCUAGAGAAAAAUAUGUCUUAAAUUUUCUUUAUAGGAGUGUAUUUUAUCUGACUGUUGAAAGUUGUCAAUAGCUAAAAAGAAAAAGUUUUUUGGACUUUGUAAAACAGAAGAAUUAACAGUGUUUUAAAUAAAAAGUUAUAAAAAUAUUUUUUAAUAGUAUAGUUUAUGUAAUUAAUUUCUGUUUUGUUUGAUAUGUAUGAACACAGUAGGUUUUAUGGGAGUCUUGAAUUUUUUUUAUUUUACUGGCAUAAUUUUUAAAGUUAUUAGAUAUUUGUAUUUAAGAGUAUUUAUUAGAGUUUUAUAGUUGAUUAUAAAAUUGUUUUGAAAAUAAUUAAAACAAUUGUGGAUGACAAAAGUUUUAAAGUAAUCAUGGUUAAAGCUUGGUUACUUUUGUGGCACAUAAUAACUUCAUAUAAUUAUUAUCGAUAUAUAUUGAAACAGAAUUAUAGGAAUUUUAUAUAGUUUUGGAAUAUAUAUUGACAAUAUAUUUAUGUAAAUAUAGCUUAAAGAAGAAAGUCAAACACUAUUUUAUCCUUAACAAUCUUUUUGUAUAAUUUUAAUACAUUAAAUGUUAAAUUGAUUUUCUUGGACUUUAAGGGACUUAAUAUUUAAAGAGUCGAUUAGAUUACAAGAAGGCUUAAAGCCAGGUAUGAUGGCUUGCCCCUGCAAUCUCAGCACUUUCGGAGGCUGAGGUGGGAAGAUUGCUUGAGCCCAGGAAUUUAAGACCAGCCUGGGAAACAUGGGGAAACCGCGUCUCUAUAAAAAAAUAAAAAAAUUAGCCAAGUGUAGUUGUGCACGUCUGUAGUCCCAGCUACUGGGGAGGCUGAGGUGGGAGGAUCACUUAAGCCUGGUAGAUGGAGGUUGUAGUGAACCAUAAUUGUGCCACUGGACUCCAGCCUGGGCGACAGAGUGAGACACUGUCUCAAAAAAAAAAGAAAAGAAAAGAAAAGAAAAAAGGCUUAAUUUAGAAUUUGACUUUGAAAAGUUUGUCAAGUAUUCUAGGCUUAAAUACUUGAUAUUAUAAAAUAAAUAAAAUUUUAGGUUAUUGUCAGUUAUUUAGUACAAGUGAUAAAUAAAAAAUAAUUAAGACAAAAAUCUCUACUCAUUGAUAGAGGGAGACUGUUUUUUAAAUAGGAUCCAAUAAAAACAGCAUGAAGCCAGCAUGUCUCUUUUUUUCUUCUUUAUUUGUUGCUUAUUUAAAAGGCAAAUAAAAAUCUUUUAUUGUUUUUAAUAUUAUAUGAAAGUGUUGUUUAAAAGAGAAAGGUAAAUUUUACUUUUGUAUUUGUGUAUUAUUAAUGUUAAACCCAAUUUUUAAUAAAACUGUUUAAUUAUAAUGAUUGUAAGGUAAAAUUUUUAUAAAAUUUUUAUAACUAUAAUUUUUUGUUAAAAAGUAGAUUAAUUUUUUGAGAAAACCCUGUUAUUUAGACACACGGUCCCAUAUUUUGGCCCUGGAUUAGUAUAUUUUUAUUUUAAUGUUUAAC